rnacentral:lncRNA from 1 species
GGAGGAGUAGCCCAUAGAAAGGCCGAAGACCUCUCCUUCGAGCACUACGCAGGAGCGGCCUCUGAUGGCUAUAGGUCCCAAUCCUCCCUCAGUGCAAUGGAUAAUUUUCAAUACCUCCCAAGCUAAGCUGAACUCCGCAUAAUGGCACCCUUCUCUUGGACAACUGGUGGCAGCCCGAUCGGAAGAACUAGCUCCCCUGGCUAAGAAGGAGAUAUCUGCUACCCACCAAUGGUGGGAGG